CCGGGGUUAGCUCAGUUGGUCAGAGCAGAGGACUCAUAAUCCUUUGGUCGCGGGUUCAAGUCCCGCACCCCGGA
rnacentral:tRNA from 1 species